rnacentral:rRNA from 1 species
CCUACGGGAGGCAGCAGUGAGGAAUAUUGGUCAAUGGACGAGAGUCUGAACCAGCCAAGUAGCGUGAAGGAUGACUGCCCUAUGGGUUGUAAACUUCUUUUAUAUGGGAAUAAAACGUUCCACGUGUGGGAUUUUGUAUGUACCAUAUGAAUAAGGAUCGGCUAACUCCGUGCCAGCAGCCGCGGUAAUACGGAGGAUCCGAGCGUUAUCCGGAUUUAUUGGGUUUAAAGGGAGCGUAGGUGGAUUGUUAAGUCAGUUGUGAAAGUUUGCGGCUCAACCGUAAGAUUGCAGUUGAAACUGGCAGUCUUGAGUACAGUAGAGGUAGGCGGAAUUCGUGGUGUAGCGGUGAAAUGCUUAGAUAUCACGAAGAACUCCGAUUGCGAAGGCAGUUCACUGGACUGCAACUGACACUGAGGCUCGAAAGUGUGGGUAUCAAACAGGAUUAGAUACCCGAGUAGUC